rnacentral:lncRNA from 1 species
GCUUGCUCUCUUUCUCCCUGCUCCUCCAGCAGGUUGGAUAUGGCUUGACUCACCAAGGGUAAAAGAAGCACAGUAAUUGGCAAUCUGUCCCAUCCCUACGAUAAACUACAAGGCACAGACCAUCUUCCAGCUGUUGGAGGCAGCCUGCAGUAUACUGAAAAUGGUCUGGAGUGCCAUAGUAGCAAAGAAAAUGAACCUCCGACCAUACCUGAUGAGAAGAGAAAAGUUGCACUUGCUUGCUGUGUAAGCAUCAUUAUAGAAUAUUGAGACUUGCUGUACACUUGAUUUACAGCUCUAGAGAUAUUGG